GGGAUGGUGGUUUCCGGCGGCGGCGGAAGCCAGCCGGCGACGCAGCUCUGCGGGAUGGAUCGGGAGGCAAGGGUUCUGAGAUACAGGGAGAAGAGGAAGAACCGGAAAUUUGAGAAAACCAUCUUCCAUCCCGUAAGAACGGUAUUUUUUUACAUGUAGGCUCGGUUUCUCACAGGGUUAUGAUCUCAUGAGUAGUUAUGCAAACAAACGGAGACAAGGGAUUUUUUGGAGGGUUCGAAUCAGACUACGGAAGGUGGUCUACUCCGUUUGGAUGGCUGAUGUUUGGCACCGGACAUUGUUCCUUAAAUGGUGGCUGCUGGCUGCUGGCUGGGUGCUCAUACUCGAUUUGGGUUUUCCUGCAAAUUUUCAGAUUUGGUGCGCCUUUGCUGGGAUUAUGGGGAUCCAGUGUGUGCAUUGAUGUGAUUGUUCUUAAUUGAUCUUGAUUGUUAUUCGCUAGCUUUGCAGAAAUCAAAGGAAUGGUAUUGGAAUUUCUCUCCCUCUCUCUUUAUUAUCCCUGAAAGGGCCAGACUUUUUUGUAUAUUUGGUCUUAAAUUUCUCUUCCUGUAGAAAAAGCAGUUUGCUCCCAAAUACAUAAUUGGUUUCUUGGUUUUCCUUUGCUUUUUUUGUUGAAGCAUGAGGCAAACUGUCUCUGGAAUUUCAGAUUCAUGAAUGUCUAUAUGAUAUGGGUAAUUUGCUGUUUUUGGUUUCCCUUUUACGCUUUAGGUAUGAAUACUCUCUCUGUGUUUGGUACUUUUUCAUCAAUUGCUCUAUAGUCUAUCUCAAAGAAUUUCCAUAAAAAAAUACAUAGCUUUGGAUGUUUGUCCUAAUUUGUUACUAAUGUCCCAAAUACAUAAUUGGUUUCUAAUGUAUGCCUAAUUUUAAAAACUGAGUAGAUCUUACUUUUGGUCUAAUUGUUUUUUUUUUGUGCUGUUUAAUCUUAGCAGCACCUUUCUCUGAACCCAAAUCAGAUCCCUCGCUUCAAAACUAACAAAUGGGUUGUCAUGGAAUCUAAGAGCUUGCAACACCAAAUAGAGAUGUGGAAUUAUGAAGCUCAUAUUGUGUUUCUUUGUUUUGUUUUGACUAGCAGUUGUGUAACACCAUUAUAUUAUUAGAAAAAUUGAAACUGAUUGAGGUUGUGCACAAGCAAUAAUAUGGACAGGAAAUGGAGUAAUGAGGGUUUUGUGGUUCUUGAACAAUGGGGUUUGAUUAUUUGUUGUUCAAGUGAUGAAGCGAAGAAGUGACAGUGACAGGUUUGGUGGUUAUAAGGGUAUUCCAGGGAGGGGAAAUGAAAGGAAGGGAGUUUGACAAUCCCACCUCAUUCAACUCUUCAUCAUCUUUCUAUUCAAGCUCAUGGUUUUCAAUUCCUACUGCAAUUAUUUUUUACCAUCAUUGUUGCAAUUUUGGGUUUUCAGAUGAUAAAUACUCCUGCUUAAGAUUCUUAUUUUAGAACAGUUGUUGUGUUAUUUCUGAAGCCAUAAAUCCUAGCAAAUAUGCUAAUUACCUUCCCCUUCAUUAGUGGUGAAGCUACUGUAGUUAAUUAAGAUUUAUGGGUUGGUUCUUCUGCAAAAUGUAGAGCUCAAUUCUGGGUUGGUUAUUCUGCAAAAUGUAGAGCUCAAUUCUGGGUUGGUUAUUCAGCGAAAUGUGGAACUCAAUUGGUGCAUUGCACAUUUUUUUCCCAUCUCUUACCAGUGAGAUAAUAUGCACUAUCUUCUAAAGUUUUAAAUUUUUUUUUCUCCAGUACUUCUCCGGAUGUGACUCUUAUGGUAUUUGCCAGAGGAGACCUCUACUGCCAUCGAUUUAACUGAUUUCAUGUUUUCAGAAGGUUUGCUUGAUUGAGAAAUCUCAAAGUGGGGUGAUGGAAAAUAGGGAUAAUGCAGUUCACUUUUAAUCCACUUUUAAUCAACUAUCAACCUAUGAUGCUUUGUGCACUGUGUUUCUUUUUUGCUCAAAUUUAUUUUACAUCUUAGUGACUAUUCUCAUUCUUCCUUCCCCAUAAGGUACAAAUAGAUGGCAUAUGGAGCUGCAGGUAUCAACCAGUUUAUUGUGGAGUCCCAAAGACUUUGCCACAAAGCAACAUAGUCUGCUUGAGGAGGUUACUCUGCUUUGGAUCCCAUUGAAUCUCAGAGAGUUGUUGAUCUCCUGAAUUCAGAGUUGUCUCCUUUCUCAAGUUGAAACCCAAGGAAUUAUGGAAACCAGUGGCUGUUGACACUUCUUGGUAUGAGGUUCUGGAUAGCUUUUUGCAAUUCAGGAGCAGGUGGUAUGCUUUCCUUCACUGUGGGGUCAAAGGGAUUGUUGAGGGUGUUAUUGUUGGCGAGCUUGAGGUAACUUCAGGAAUAUGGCCCAUAUAACAGAACAUACUUCAAUGGAGACAGUUUGUGCAUCUAAAGAGAAAGAUCAAAAUUCACUCAGGUCCAUUACUCGAUGCAUAAAAAUUUUAGCUUUCAUAAUUUCUCAUAUAGUACUCCCUUUCAUUUGGCACACAUGUACAACUCAAUCCAUAAAUGAGAAAGUCUUAUGUAAUUUUUGGUAUGUCAAUUUUGUUUAAUACAUAAGAAGUAUGUACUCCGUGUUUGGAACUUUCAUAGGUAAAUUUUUGGGGUUGGCUGUUAUUUUGAUUUUGGAUUUUUAAAUUGGCAUUGUCCUAUAGACAUUAAAUUUUUAGUCCAAAAUAAACUCUUUACCCUUUUGGUUGUC